rnacentral:rRNA from 1 species
CCUACGGGAGGCAGCAGUGGGGAAUAUUGGACAAUGGGCGCAAGCCUGAUCCAGCCAUGCCGCGUGAGUGAUGAAGGCCCUAGGGUUGUAAAGCUCUUUCACCGGUGAAGAUAGUGACGGUAACCGGAGAAGAAGCCCCGGCUAACUUCGUGCCAGCAGCCGCGGUAAU